UACAGGUGGUGCAUGGUUGUCGUCAGCUCGUGUCGUGAGAUGUUGGGUUAAGUCCCGCAACGAGCGCAACCCUCGUUCUAUGUUGCCAGCACGUAAUGGUGGGGACUCAUGGAAGACUGCCGGGGUCAACUCGGAGGAAGGUGGGGAUGACGUCAAAUCAUCAUGCCCCUUAUGUCUUGGGCUUCACGCAUGCUACAAUGGCCGGUACAAUGGGCUGCGAUACCGCAAGGUGGAGCGAAUCCCAAAAAACCGGUCUCAGUUCGGAUUGGGGUCUGCAACUCGACCCCAUGAAGUCGGAGUCGCUAGUAAUCGCAGAUCAGCAACGCUGCGGUGAAUACGUUCCCGGGCCUUGUACACACCGCCCGUCAAGUCACGAAAGUCGGUAACACCCGAAGCCGGUGGCCCAACCCUUGUGGGGGGAGCCGUCGAAGGUGGACUGGCGAUUGGGAC
rnacentral:rRNA from 1 species